CCUACGUGAGGCAGCAGUGGGGAAUAUUGCGCAAUGGGCGAAAGCCUGACGCAGCGACGCCGCGUGAGGGAUGAAGGUCUUCGGAUCGUAAACCUCUGUCAGCAGGGAAGAACGGUCACUGUGCUAAUCAGCAGUGAAUUGACGGUACCUGCAAAGGAAGCACCGACUAACUCCGUGCCAGCAGCCACGGUAAUACGGAGGGUGAGAGCGUUAAUCGGAAUUACUGGGCGGAAAGCGCUCGUAGGCGGUAUGUCAAGUCAAGGGUGAAAUCCCCGCGCUCAACGUGGGAACUGCCUUUGAAACUGGCAAACUGGAGUGUGUGAGAGGAUAGUGGAAUUCCAGGUGUAGGAGUGAAAUCCGUAGAUAUCUGGAGGAACAUCAGUGGCGAAGGCGACUAUCUGGCACAUAACUGACGCUGAGGAGCGAAAGCGUGGGUAGCAAACAGGAUUAGAUACCCGUGUAGUC
rnacentral:rRNA from 1 species